rnacentral:rRNA from 1 species
GACGAACGCUGGCGGCGUGCCUAAUACAUGCAAGUCGAACGCACUCUCGUUUAGAUUGAAGGAGCUUGCUCCUGAUUGAUAAACAUUUGAGUGAGUGGCGGACGGGUGAGUAACACGUGGGUAACCUGCCCUAAAGUGGGGGAUAACAUUUGGAAACAGAUGCUAAUACCGCAUAAAACCUAACACCGCAUGGUGUAGGGUUGAAAGAUGGUUUCGGCUAUCACUUUAGGAUGGACCCGCGGUGCAUUAGUUAGUUGGUGAGGUAAAGGCUCACCAAGACCGUGAUGCAUAGCCGACCUGAGAGGGUAAUCGGCCACACUGGGACUGAGACACGGCCCAGACUCCUACGGGAGGCAGCAGUAGGGAAUCUUCCACAAUGGACGAAAGUCUGAUGGAGCAACGCCGCGUGAGUGAAGAAGGUUUCGGAUCGUAAACUCUGUUGUUGGAGAAGAAUGUAUCUGAUAGUAACUGAUCAGGUAGUGACGGUAUCC